CACGUAGGGCGCAAGCGUUGUCCGGAAUUAUUGGGCGUAAAGAGCUCGUAGGCGGUCUGUUGCGUCCGCUGUGAAAACUCGGGGCUUAACCCCGAGCCUGCAGUGGAUACGGGCAGACUAGAGGUAGGUAGGGGAGAAUGGAAUUCCCGGUGUAGCGGUGAAAUGCGCAGAUAUCGGAAGGAACGCCGGUGGCGAAAGCGCAUCACUGGACCUCUUCUGACGCUGAGGCGCGAAAGCCAGGGGAGCAAACGGG
rnacentral:rRNA from 1 species